GAGUGAACGCUGGCGGUAGGCCUAACACAUGCAAGUCGAACGGCAGCCCAGUAAUAGCUUGCUCUUACGGGUGGCGAGUGGCGGACGGGUGAGGAAUACAUCGGAAUCUACUUUUUCGUGGGGGAUAACGUAGGGAAACUUACGCUAAUACCGCAUACGACCUACGGGUGAAAGCAGGGGAUCUUCGGACCUUGCGCGAUUGAAUGAGCCGAUGUCGGAUUAGCUAGUUGGCGGGGUAAAGGCCCACCAAGGCGACGAUCCGUAGCUGGUCUGAGAGGAUGAUCAGCCACACUGGAACUGAGACACGGUCCAGACUCCUACGGGAGGCAGCAGUGGGGAAUAUUGGACAAUGGGCGCAAGCCUGAUCCAGCCAUACCGCGUGGGUGAAGAAGGCCUUCGGGUUGUAAAGCCCUUUUGUUGGGAAAGAAAAGCAGCAGGUUAAUACCCCGCUGUUCUGACGGUACCCAAAGAAUAAGCACCGGCUAACUUCGUG
rnacentral:rRNA from 1 species